rnacentral:lncRNA from 1 species
CACCGGAUCAGGAGGCAGGCUUGUUCACAGUCCUUCUUGGUCAGCCGUUGAUUUCCAGAAUGUCCACAGGCAGGUAGUUUCUUUUCAUUUCUUUCAAAGGUUUCAUUUUCUCCUGCUGUUCACACUGCAUGAGAAUUGGGAGCAGGACAUUGUAAAUACUUUAGCCACCCUGCAUUUUGAAGUUAAAGGGCACGCUGUGAAGCAGGCCAUGGGGUGGAGAGAAAGCAGUGGGCCAGAAGUUGGCAGCACGUUGAUUCUCAUCCCUGAUCCCCACUCUGUAUGUAUGAAUUUGCCCCAUCUUUAUGCUUUGGAAGCCUCUGUUUUAUCAUCAGAGGGAAUUUUUUUUUCUUCUUUUUUUAAGUAGUGGAGUCUUUCAAAUACGGGGGAAAUCUUAUAUACACUUCCUCAAAUAUUAAAAAAUAUGUAUUUGCAUUUUUAUAUGUAUAUAUGUAUAAAAAGUGCAGCUAUUUUGAUUGAACUAAGGUUUAGGACCAGACUGUCACCAGCUCAGGCUAUCUGUCCUGAGCGCCCUGAGGCACUUCCUCUGUUGGGCCUCCACUAGCCUGGAAGUUUGGGUGAAUUUUUUAAAAAGCGUCAUGCCCUAGUCUGAUGCAGCCCCCGCACCAGGCCCUAUAUGGGAGCAAGGUGAGCAAGGGCUCAGGGGAAGCCACUCCCCUCCCCUUGGUCUGCUACAAAUUGCCCAGGUCCUGCCCUCAGACUCCUAGCAGUUGAAAAUUGUUGAACUUGGUUGCUCCAACGAGCUUCUUCCAGAUCUUCAGUGUAAUAGACACAGCCAAUCUGGAUUGAGGACUGGAGUCUACACCGCCGUGAACCACUGGAGUUGUCAGAUGAAGGUGGCAGAAUGGAGAGAAGUAUCAGGCAUAAGCUACAGUCAUAUAAACCUUGAUACAGAUGUGAAUUGACGUGUCUGCUUCCUCUUCGCCUUCUGCCAUGAUUGUAAGUUUCCUGAGGCUUCCCUAGUCAUGCUUCCUGUACAGCCCUCAGAACUCUUAAAGGUGAACAAGCUGGGUAGCAAGGGCCUGCAGAGAAGCAUUGGCUUUGAGGAGACUCACAGCCAGUUAGUGAUAAAAACACAUCCAUAAAAACCUGUGCUUGUCCUAAUGAGAGCUUUUCCACUGCAGGAAGUGCCUUCCAUAUAAAUGAGCCUCAACAAAUACUUCUUGGUGAUUAAAGUUUGGAAGUUUCUAUAAAGUGAUGUCAGGAGAAGACGGCUGGCUUCUAAAUACCCUCUCAAGAUUAUGAUAACCUUGAAAAAUUUAUCCCAAUUAGUUCCUCAGCUUGAUGGGCUCAGAAACUUAGUUUAACUGAACUUAUAAACUUCUGUAUAAAUUGUUAUUCCAAUUAAUUUAUUUAAAGUGAGAAUGAUGCAUUAAUGUUCACAUUGGCCUUAGCAGUACAUUCCUUGGAUGAAGGCUGAUUUAUGUGGGGAGUCAAGUUAUCAUAAGAAGAAAUCGUGGUUUGUAUCACAUUAAAAGUGAAAUCCUUACAUUUAUGGUCAACUGGUUUUCAACAAAGGUGUCAAGUCUAUUUAGUAAAGGAUAGGACAGUAUUUUUAGCCGGGAAAAUUGGAUAUACACAUGCAAAAAAAAUAAUCUUAGCCCCCUACCUCACACCAUAAACAAAAAAGUUAACUCAAAAUGGAUCAUAGACCUAAAUUUAAGGGCUAAAACCAUAAAACUUCUAGAAGAACACAUAGGAGAAUGUCUUUGUGACUUUGGGUUAGGCAACAAUUUCUUAGAUCAAUAAAAGACAUAAUUAUGAAUUUGGCUUUAUCAAAAUUAAAACUUUUUCUCUUCAAAAGAAAGAAAAUGAAAAGACUAAUACCAGAAUGGGAGAAAAUAUUUUCAAAAUACAUAUCUGAUAAGGACUUCUUUCCAGAAUGUAUAAAGAACACUUACCACUCAACAAUAAGAAGACAAACAACCUAAUUAAAAGUGGGCAACAUAUUUGAAUAGAGAUUUCACAAAGAAGAUAUACAAAAUGCUAAUAAGCACAUGAAAGGAUGCUCAAUAUCAUUAUUCAUUAGAAAAAUGCCACUUGAAACCUCAAUGAGAUACCUUUACACACCCACUAGAGUGGCUGUAAUCCAAAAGACUUGCAAUACUAAGUGUUGGUGAGGAUUUGGAAAAACUGAAAUUCUCAUACAUUACUGAUGGGUAUGUAGAGCAGUAUAGUCACUUUGGAGAGCCCCUUGACAAGACCUUAAAAGAUCUAAUGCAUACUUGUGUCUAACUCAGCAAUUCUAUUCCUAACUUUUUACUCAAGAUAAAUCAAAACAUAUGUUCCUGCCAGGACUUGUUCCUGACUGUCCAUGGAAGCUUAUUCACGCAAUCCAAAUGUCCAGAAACUGGUGAAUAGACUGACAAAGUGUAGAUCCAUAAAAAGGAAUGCUGUUCAGCAAAUUUUAAAUGGUAUACUGAUAGUUAUAAUAACAUAGAUAACCUUCAAGUAUAUAAUGCUAAGUGAAAGAAGCUCAACACGACUAUCUAGUUUAUGAUUUCAUUUAUAUAACACUUCCAGAAAAGACAAAUCUAUAGAGACAGAAAACAGAUUUAUGGUUGCCUGGGGCUGAGGGUGGGAGUGGAAAUUGAUUGCAAAUGAGCACGGGGAACUUUGUGGGUGAUAAAAAUGUUCUAAAACUGGAUUGUGCUUAUGAUUAUGCAACUGUAUAAAUUUACUAAAAAUCAUUCAACUGUACACUUACAAUGGGUGACUAUUAUGAUAUGUAAAUUAUGCCUCAAUGAGUCUAUAAAAAAUUCAAGGGUGGGCAAGUAGGCUGCUGAAUAAAAUCUUUGAG